GCAGUGAUAGCUCAAUGUGGUAGAGCGCUCGAUUGAAGAUCGAGAGUGUGGAGGUUCGAGCCCCCUCACUGCACCA
rnacentral:tRNA from 1 species